CCUGCUUCCAGGAAAAGCCUCUAAGCAUCAGGUAACAUCAAAUCGUACCCCAAACCGACACAGGUGGUCAGGUAGAGAAUACCAAGGCGCUUGAGAGAACUCGGGUGAAGGAACUAGGCAAAAUGGUGCCGUAACUUCGGGAGAAGGCACGCUGAUAUGUAGGUGAAGUCCCUCGCGGAUGGAGCUGAAAUCAGUCGAAGAUACCAGCUGGCUGCAACUGUUUAUUAAAAACACAGCACUGUGCAAACACGAAAGUGGACGUAUACGGUGUGACGCCUGCCCGGUGCCGGAAGGUUAAUUGAUGGGGUUAGCGCAAGCGAAGCUCUUGAUCGAAGCCCCGGUAAACGGCGGCCGUAACUAUAACGGUCCUAAGGUAGCGAAAUUCCUUGUCGGGUAAGUUCCGACCUGCACGAAUGGCGUAAUGAUGGCCAGGCUGUCUCCACCCGAGACUCAGUGAAAUUGAACUCGCUGUGAAGAUGCAGUGUACCCGCGGCAAGACGGAAAGACCCCGUGAACCUUUACUAUAGCUUGACACUGAACAUUGAGCCUUGAUGUGUAGGAUAGGUGGGAGGCUUUGAAGUGUGGACGCCAGUCUGCAUGGAGCCGACCUUGAAAUACCACCCUUUAAUGUUUGAUGUUCUAACGUUGACCCGUAAUCCGGGUUGCGGACAGUGUCUGGUGGGUAGUUUGACUGGGGCGGUCUCCUCCUAAAGAGUAACGGAGGAGCACGAAGGUUGGCUAAUCCUGGUCGGACAUCAGGAGGUUAGUGCAAUGGCAUAAGCCAGCUUGACUGCGAGCGUGACGGCGCGAGCAGGUGCGAAAGCAGGUCAUAGUGAUCCGGUGGUUCUGAAUGGAAGGGCCAUCGCUCAACGGAUAAAAGGUACUCCGGGGAUAACAGGCUGAUACCGCCCAAGAGUUCAUAUCGACGGCGGUGUUUGGCACCUCGAUGUCGGCUCAUCACAUCCUGGGGCUGAAGUAGGUCCCAAGGGUAUGGCUGUUCGCCAUUUAAAGUGGUACGCGAGCUGGGUUUAGAACGUCGUGAGACAGUUCGGUCCCUAUCUGCCGUGGGCGCUGGAGAACUGAGGGGGGCUGCUCCUAGUACGAGAGGACCGGAGUGGACGCAUCACUGGUGUUCGGGUUGUCAUGCCAAUGGCACUGCCCGGUAGCUAAAUGCGGAAGAGAUAAGUGCUGAAAGCAUCUAAGCACGAAACUUGCCCCGAGAUGAGUUCUCCCUGACUCCUUGAGAGUCCUGAAGGAACGUUGAAGACGACGACGUUGAUAGGCCGGGUGUGUAAGCGCAGCGAUGCGUUGAGCUAACCGGUACUAAUGAACCGUGAGGC
rnacentral:rRNA from 1 species